GCGCAUUCGGGGCUGCAGCGCAGGCAGCGUCGCCCCCGGAGGAGGACGUGGGCUGAGUCGUGACUGGGGGCUCGGUCCCUCCGCUGACGCUCUCACUCCCUUCUCCUCCUGCAGCGGCGGCGGCGGCUCCUCCAUCGGCCGCGCGGGCUGCGGGCUGCGGGCUCUGCUCUGCGGCCGCGGCGCUUGGACGGCUGGGUCCGGGCUCUCGCCAUGGACCCGGCAUAGGCUGGCGGCGCACCCACCGGUCCUCGGUCUGCCCCGGGGCCCGGCAGGCAUCGGCGCGGCUGCAGCGGAGAUGUUUGCUGGAACUAAUACAGCUGAUGAAAUACCUGCCCUUUUCUGCUGAAGAGGCUGGUUUAACUGAUUCGCUUUCCACAUAAGCGUGGCAAGUAGAAAAAUCAGUUUCUCAUAAUAAAAAAUAAUAGGUAAGUGAAUGUUACGGCAUUUUACUUAAUGAAGCUAUUUUCUGUUCUCAUUUUACUGGUUUUAAGGCUUGAAAUAAUUUUUU